UACGAAGGGGGCUAGCGUUGUUCGGAAUUACUGGGCGUAAAGGGCGCGUAGGCGGUGUGUCAAGUCAGGCGUGAAAGCCCCGGGCUCAACCUGGGAACCGCGCUUGAGACUGGCACGCUAGAGUUCGGGAGAGGAUGGUGGAACUGCGAGUGUAGAGGUGAAAUUCGUAGAUAUUCGCAAGAACACCAGUGGCGAAGGCGGCUCACUGGCCCGAUACUGACGCUGAGGCACGAAAGCGUGGGGAGCAAACAGG
rnacentral:rRNA from 1 species